CCGAGUUCACGCCCUCACGGGCAGAUCUCCCACCCUUGAAUACCUUACCUUUGUUGCUUUGGCGGGCCACGCUCGCGUGUCGGCCCCGGCUGACUGCGCCCGCCAGAGAAUCCAAACUCUUUUGUUUAGUGAUGUCUGAGUACUAUAUAAUAGUUA
rnacentral:misc_RNA from 1 species